rnacentral:rRNA from 1 species
UUUCGCAAUGCCCGAAAGGGUGACGAAGCGACGCCGCGUGCGGGAAGAAGGCCUUCGGGUUGUAAACCGCUGUCGGGAGUUAAGAAAUGUAAGGAUGUUAAUAGCAUCUUUGCUUGACUAAGGCUCCGGAGGAAGCCACGGCUGACUCUGUGCCAGCAGCCGCGGUAAUACAGAGGCGGCAAGCGUUGUUCGGAAUUAUUGGGCGUAAAGAGCACGUAGGCGGCUGUGUAAGUCGGUUGUGAAAGCCUUCCGCUCAACGGGAGAACAGCAUCCGAUACUGCAUGGCUUGAGUGCGGGAGGGGAGAGUGGAACUUCUGGUGGAGCGGUGGAAUGCGUAGAUAUCAGAAGGAACGCCGGCGGCGAAAGCGGCUCUCUGGCCCAUAACUGACGCUGAGUGUGCGAAAGCUAGGGGAGCAAACGGGAUUAGAUACCCCGGUAGUCCUAGCCGUAAACGAUGGGCACUAAGUAGAGGGGUUUUAAUCUC